GGCCCGGCCGAGGAGCGAAGAAAGAGCGAGCCGGGCCGGCAGAGGCGCCGCGCCCGGUCCCGCGCCCGCGCUCGGCGGCCCCGGCGGCUCCCUUCGGGGGUGACGAGGAUGUGCCUGGCUGCUGGCUUUCCCCCCCGCCCUCCUCCUUAAGACGAUUUCCAUAGUAACCUGAUCAAGUGGCUCAGGAUCGCAAACCUGAGGAUCUCCGCGGCCCGCCGGCUUGACCUCAGUCAGAUAAGGACAUUGAGCAGCAGGACAGCUGAUUGGGCAUCGGUUGAUCCAAGCUGAUGGAGGCUGGAAGUGAAGUUUCAAAAUUGGAAGUGUGAUUUGAUCGGACUCUUCUGGAAGCAAACUGAUGUCCGUGGAAUUGGUUGUUUCAGGAAACAAAGCCCAGGAGUUAGAGACUCUGCUGGAUUCUCUCUGAGUGGAUUAGAGGU